UACGGGGGGGGCAAGCGUUGUUCGGAAUUACUGGGCGUAAAGGGCUCGUAGGCGGCCAACUAAGUCAGGCGUGAAAUCCCUCGGCUUAACCGGGGGACUGCAUCUGAUACUGUAUGGCUUGAGUUCGGGAGAGGGAUGCGGAAUUCCAGGUGUAGCGGUGAAAUGCGUAGAUAUCUGGAGGAACACCGGUGGCGAAGGCGGCAUCCUGGACCGACACUGACGCUGAGGAGCGAAAGCCAGGGGAGCAAACGGG
rnacentral:rRNA from 1 species